GACGAACGCUGGCGGCGUGCCUAAUACAUGCAAGUAGAACGAAGUUGCGAACGGGGGAGUAUCGCGUAGGUUACUGCCUCCUACCGGGGGAUAACUCAUGGAAACGAUAGCUAUAACCGCACAAUGUGAGCUGGACCUGCGUUUUAUUAGGUAGUUGGUGAGGUAAAGGCCCACCAAGGCGGGGAUACAUAGCCGACCUGAGUGGGGGAUCGGCCACACUGGGACUGAGACACGGCCCAGACUCCUACGGGAGGCAGCAGUAGGGAAUCUGCGGCAAUGGACGGAAGUCUGACCGAGCAACGCCGCGUGAGUGAGGAAGGUUUUCGGGUCGUAAAGCUCUGUUAAUAGAGAAGCGGUACCGAACCAGAAAGCGACGGCUAACUACGUGCCAGCAGCCGCGGUAAUUC
rnacentral:rRNA from 1 species